rnacentral:lncRNA from 1 species
CUUAUUACAAUCACAAAGGAGGAAGCGGGGAUUUAUGACUUCAUGCAGUUUAAACCACCUGCCUGCCUAAGUGGCAAAGCUAGCUGCUCACAGGACAGCUCUGAAUCUGACUAAGCUUAUUCCAUCAAACUUCACUCCAGAAUUUUCAAAUCACCGAACCCCAAAGUUAUGGGAAUUUGUUGCCAAGGGAGAAAGACAGUGGAAUUUCUGCUUUCCUGAUCUGCAGAAACUAUAAAACUGACCCAAUAGAUAUGGAUAUCGCCUCAUCAGCAAAGCAGCACUCUCGCAUAUUCUUUCCUGAAGGUAUAAUCCAACAUUAAAUUCAGGAUUUAUAUAGUUUCAAUAUGCUCCUCAUUGAUUCCAGAUUAGACUGUAUUGCCUGCCCUCAUGAGAUGUGUUUCUCCUCCAAGAAUUCCUGAUAGUCCUCUGGUGUGUAUGUGUGUGCACUCAUGCAUUUGGCUUUCAGCUACAGCCACCAUAUGAAUAGAAAGAAUGGACAUACAAAGAAUCACAUUUGCCUUCCACUUCUGCAAUUUGCUGACCCUAGCAGACUACACGAACUAGAUGAUUGGAACUCCUCAAGGGUAACCUCUGUAAGACUGCAGACUUAAAGGUUGUCAGCAACUUGGCUUAUAUCUGCAGUGGCUUUGUUUCUCUCCAGUGCAUAAACCAAAGGUAAAAUUGGACUCACGAGCUAACCUUUACCACCAGGCAUUCUUUUACUUGAAGAUGAUAAUAGACUUUCCUUGUGGUGGAAGUUGUGCGCCAUGAGUGCCCUCUCUUGUGUCACCGUACGAGUGUGUAAAGUAAGAAGUGCAGGCAGGGAGUAGCAGGA